rnacentral:rRNA from 1 species
UUUGAAGGGUUUGAUCCUGGCUCAGAACGAACGCUGGCGGCGUGGCUAAGACAUGCAAGUCGAACGGUCUCGGUAAAUUUAUUUAUCGGGAUAGUGGCGAAAGGGUUAGUAAUGGAUAGGUAACGUACCCUGUGCUUCGGGAUAGCGUCAUUCACCUUCGGGUGAAUUUCCGAAAGGGACGGUAAUACCGGAUAAUGUCAUUUGUCGAUAGGCAGAUGACCAAAGAUUUAUCGGCAAAGGAGCGGCCUAUCUCCUAUCAGCUUGUUGGUGAGGUAACGGCUCACCAAGGCAAUGACGGGUAGCGGGACUGAGAGGUUGGACCGCAACAUCGGGACUGAGACACUGCCCGGACCUCCACGGAGGGCUGCAGUAACGAAUAUUGCGCAAUGGGCGAAAGCCUGACGCAGCGACGCCGCGUGCGGGAGGAAGUCCCUCGGGAUGUAAACCGCUGUCAGGGGUGAGAAAGUCCGUUUUGGCGGAUUGAUCAGCCCCGGAGGAAGUCACGGCUAACUUCGUGCCAGCAGCCGCGGUAAGACGAAGGUGGCAAGCGUUGUUCGGUGUUACUGGGCUUAAAGCGUGUGUAGGCGGAAAGGUAAGCGUCUUGUGAAAGCCCUCGGCUUAACCGAGGAACUGCUCGGCGAACUGCCUUUCUUGAGGCAAGUAGGGGUGCACGGAACUCUUGGUGGAGCGGUGGAAUGCGUAGAUAUCAAGAGGAACGCCGAUGGAGAAAUCAGUGCACUGGGCUUGUCCUGACGCUGAGACACGAAAGCGUGGGGAGCGAACGGGAUUAGAUACCCCGGUAGUCCACGCUGUAAACGAUGUCUACUAGGCUGUGGUCGUUCUGACACGGGCACGGCCGAAGCAAAAGUGUUAAGUAGACCGCCUGGGGAGUACGGUCGCAAGGCUAAAACUCAAAGGAAUUGACGGGGGCUCACACAAGCGGUGGAGCAUGUGGAUUAAUUCGAAGCAACGCGCAGAACCUUACCUGGGUUUGACAUGCUUGGAUGCUCGCCUGGAAACAGACCGAGCUGCCCUUCGGGGUGAAACUUGCACAGGUGCUGCAUGGCUGUCGUCAGCUCGUGUCGUGAGAUGUCGGGUUAAGUCCUUUAACGAGCGAAACCCUUGCCGUUAGUUG